ACGGCGAGUGAAGCGGCAACAGCUCAAAUUUGAAAUCUGAUCUCUUCGAGGUCCGAGUUGUAAUUUGCAGAGGGCGCUUUGGUGUUGGCUGCGGUCUAAGUUCCUUGGAACAGGACGUCAUAGAGGGUGAGAAUCCCGUCUGUGGUCGCAUGUCUUCACCGUGUAAAGCCCCUUCGACGAGUCGAGUUGUUUGGGAAUGCAGCUCUAAAUGGGAGGUAAAUUUCUUCUAAAGCUAAAUACUGGCCAGAGACCGAUAGCGCACAAGUAGAGUGAUCGAAAGAUGAAAAGCACUUUGGAAAGAGAGUCAAAAAGCACGUGAAAUUGUUGAAAGGGAAGCGCUUGCAGCCAGACUUGCUUGCAGUUGCUCAUCCGGGCGUUCGCCCGGUGCACUCUUCUGUAGGCAGGCCAGCAUCAGUUUGGGCGGUUGGAUAAAGGCCUCUGUCAUGUAUCUUCUCCGGAAGACCUUAUAGGGGAGGCGUAAUGCAACCAGCCUGGACUGAGGUCCGCGCAUCUGCUAGGAUGCUGGCGUAAUGGCUGUAAGCGGCCCGUCUUGAAACACGGACCAAGGAGUCUAACAUCUAUGCGAGUGUUUGGGUGUCAAGCCCGAGCGCGUAAUGAAAGUGAACGGAGGUGGGAACCCUCGGGUGCACCAUCGACCGAUCCUGAUGUCUUCGGAUGGAUUUGAGUAAGAGCAUAGCUGUUGGGACCCGAAAGAUGGUGAACUAUGCUUGAAUAGGGUGAAGCCAGAGGAAACUCUGGUGGAGGCUCGCAGCGGUUCUGACGUGCAAAUCGAUCGUCAAA
rnacentral:rRNA from 1 species